rnacentral:rRNA from 1 species
GGACUACCCGGGUUUCUAAUCCCGUUCGCUCCCCUGGCCUUCGCCCCCGAGCGUCAGGUGCCUCCCAGGACACUGCCUUCGCCUUUGGUGUUCCUCCGGAUCUCUACGCAUUUCACCGCUCCACCCGGAAUUCCAUGUCCCUCUGAGGCCCUCCAGUCAUGCCGUCUUGCCAGCACUUCGGCAGUUAAGCCGCCGACUGUCACCAACAACGCGCACGACCGCCUGCGGGCGCUUUACGCCCAGUAACUCCGGACAACGCUCGCCCCCUACGUAUUACCGCGGCUGCUGGCAC